rnacentral:snRNA from 1 species
AUACCUUAAAGGUAACUCUUCCCCGAUCACGAAGGUGGUUUUCCCAGGGUGAGGCUUAUCCAUUGCACUCUGGAUGUGCCGACCCCUGCGAUUUCCCCAAAUGUGGGAAACUCAACUGCAUAAUAGUGGUAGUGGGGGACUGCAUUUGCACUCCCCCG